UGGGGAAUAUUGCACAAUGGGCGCAAGCCUGAUGCAGCCAUGCCGCGUGUGUGAAGAAGGCCUUCGGGUUGUAAAGCACUUUCAGCGAGGAGGAAGGUGGUGAGCUUAAUACGCUCAUCAAUUGACGUUACUCGCAGAAGAAGCACCGGCUAACUCCGUGCCAGCAGCCGCGGUAAUACGGAGGGUGCAAGCGUUAAUCGGAAUUACUGGGCGUAAAGCGCACGCAGGCGGUUUGUUAAGUCAGAUGUGAAAUCCCCCGGGCUCAACCUGGGAACUGCAUUUGAAACUGGCAAGCUAGAGUCUCGUAGAGGGGGGUAGAAUUCCAGGUGUAGCGGUGAAAUGCGUAGAGAUCUGGAGGAAUACCGGUGGCGAAGGCGGCCCCCUGGACGAAGACUGACGCUCAGGUGCGAAAGCGUGGGGCAGCAAACAGGAUUAGAUACCCUGGUAGUCCAGCGCUGUAAAACGAUGUCGAUUUGGAGGUUGUGCCCUUGAGGCGUGGCUUCCGGAGCUAACGCGUUAAAGUCGACCGCCUGGGGGAGUACGG
rnacentral:rRNA from 1 species